CAGGUUGUAAGGCAACAAAAUAUGAAAAAUGCCAAGUGGGGUGAAUACUUUCGCAAGCCACUGUACCAUUGCUAAGGGCUGUGUAUUACCUAAGAACAAGAAGGGAGCAGCUGUGGACCAGAAAACUGCAGCACUGGUCCACACCUGCCCUGUCUGUCAGAUUGAUUACUAACUUCCUGCACUUUGAGAGCAAGCAUCCCAAGUCUCCAAUGGUCCCAGUACUGGUUGAUGUUCAAGCAGCACCUUGAGAGCAAGCAUCCCACGUCUCCAAUGGUCCCAGUACUGGUUGAUGGACCCAUGGCUGGGACAAACGAUUACCAUGAUUUGAAUGCUGCAAAUGAGACGGAAUGACUUUGAGGGACACACGCUGAGAAUCCGAGUAUGACUGGGCAUGGGCCGGAUAUUUGUGACAACAACUGGUGUAAAUUAUUUUUGAGGUAUCUGUACUUUAAUUUACUCUUUAUAUUUUUUGACAACUUUUACUUUUACUCCAUUACAUUCCUUAUUGGGUUAUUUGUGCUGGUCUAAUUCCUAACAUGGAAAAGCAUAAGAAUCUGCGCUAUUCACUGGUGCAAAGUACUUGUGUAAAAAUAGUACUAAAGUACUACUUAAGUUAUUUUGGGGGGUAUCUGUACUUUACUAUUUAUAUUUUUGACUACUUUUACUUUAACUUCACUACUGUCAUGACUGUCCUGUGAGGAUCCAAAUAGGUCAGAUCAGCUUGGCAAUAAAUGCCUUCAGCCAGACCCCCUCUCACCCGCAGAGGGGGUAGAAGGUAGCUGGUGGGGGGUUGACAGUUCACACCCUGUUGUAACUCAAGGAUUAGAACAUUCAGAGAACAUCUCUCUCCAAUGUUCACACAGGAAUGUGUAUAGACAUGUACGCAUACAUUUUCCCACCAAAACUCUUAACAUGUUCUAAAGCGAAUACUGGAACAAUAUUUCUAACAUAGAAUGUGGGGAAUGAGCAGAGGUGACCUAAAAGAACACUAAUGUAAUAUGGGUUGUUAUUUUGAGAUGUCAUUAAAAAUGUUAUAAAGGAAAUACUGUAACUUGAAAAGUAUACACACUAUAUGACAUUGUGCAUGAAAUAUGAAACAUGAUGAAAGUGUUUUUGUUACGAGAAAGCUGUGAUCUUAGAAACUAGAGGAAAUUAUUUCUAUAACUUUGUACAAGUGAGUAGUCACCACCCCCUUGAAAUCUCAACACGAGGUAGAGACGAUAACGUCAACUCCCAGACAAUCACUGGUAUGGCUGAUAAGCUGUCCUAAGUAAAGUAUCUAGGAAAGUGAAUUUAAGUGGGACCAUUCUAUUACUCUGCCAAAUCACCGUAGUACGCUACUCUCAUCACCCCACUGAGAACCAUCGACACGGCUGGCUAGCCUAUCUUCAAAGAGGCAGCUUGAGGAGUGAAUCGGAGUAGAAUAAACUCUGUAGUUCUGUUCAGGACUACAUGACAAGUCAACCGAUACCGGGUGACGGCAGAGGAGGACAACAGUAGAAGAUGGGUGGGGACCCCUUUUGGACAAUCAGAGCAAAAGGGGACCCCUUUUGGGCAAACAGAGCCUUUCCGCGUGACGCAGAAGGGCCCAACCAAAUCCCUUUCCAAGAAGGCUUGAUUCCGACAGAGAUACACGGCUAGCCAAGACAUUUACACAUAACAUGAAUGAUUUAUUACUCCAAAAGGGUGAGGUUUCUAUAUGAUUACUGUGAGAGUAGUUUCUAAAAGUAUUAUGUCUCUGUCCCUUUCUCUCUCUCUCUCUCUCUCGCCCUCUCCAUGUCUGUUGUAAUAAUCUGCUAUAUUGUGUCAGUCUGUUAGGGACAUGUUUUAAUGUAUUAAGUGUGUAUGUUUAUCCUGUGUUACCAUUUUGUUAGUAAAUAAAUAAUUAAACCAA